UAGAGUUUUGAUCCUGGCUCAGGACGAACGCUGGCGGCGUGCUUAACACAUGCAAGUCGAACGAUGAAGCCUUUCGGGGUGGAUUAGUGGCGAACGGGUGAGUAACACGUGGGCAAUCUGCCCUUCACUCUGGGACAAGCCCUGGAAACGGGGUCUAAUACCGGAUAAUACUUUCUCUCUCAUGGGGGAAGGUUAAAAGCUCCGGCGGUGAAGGAUGAGCCCGCGGCCUAUCAGCUAGUUGGUGGGGUAAUGGCCUACCAAGGCGACGACGGGUAGCCGGCCUGAGAGGGCGACCGGCCACACUGGGACUGAGACACGGCCCAGACUCCUACGGGAGGCAGCAGUGGGGAAUAUUGCACAAUGGGCGAAAGCCUGAUGCAGCGACGCCGCGUGAGGGAUGACGGCCUUCGGGUUGUAAACCUCUUUCAGCAGGGAAGAAGCGAAAGUGACGGUACCUGCAGAAGAAGCGCCGGCUAACUACGUGCCAGCAGCCGCGGUAAUACGUAGGGCGCAAGCGUUGUCCGGAAUUAUUGGGCGUAAAGAGCUCGUAGGCGGCUUGUUGCGUCGGUUGUGAAAGCCCGGGGCUUAACCCCGGGUCUGCAGUCGAUACGGGCAGGCUAGAGUGUGGUAGGGGAGAUCGGAAUUCCUGGUGUAGCGGUGAAAUGCGCAGAUAUCAGGAGGAACACCG
rnacentral:rRNA from 1 species